rnacentral:rRNA from 1 species
AGGACGAACGCUGGCGGCGUGCUUAACACAUGCAAGUCGAGCGGAAAGGCCCUUCGGGGUACUCGAGCGGCGAACGGGUGAGUAACACGUGAGUAAUCUGCCCCUAGCUCUGGGAUAGCUCCGGGAAACCGGGAUUAAUACCAGAUACGACCACUUUAGACAUCUGUUGUGGUGGAAAGAAUUUUGGCUAGGGAUGAGCUCGCGGCCUAUCAGCUUGUUGGUGAGGUAACGGCUCACCAAGGCGACGACGGGUAGCCGGCCUGAGAGGGCGACCGGCCACACUGGGACUGAGACACGGCCCAGACUCCUACGGGAGGCAGCAGUGGGGAAUAUUGCGCAAUGGGCGAAAGCCUGACGCAGCGACGCCGCGUGGGGGAUGAAGGCCUUCGGGUUGUAAACCCCUUCAGCAGGGACGAAGCGAAAGUGACGGUACCUGCAGAAGAAGCGCCGGCUAACUACGCGCCAGCAGCCGC